AACGAACGCUGGCGGCAUGCCUAACACAUGCAAGUCGAACGAGACCUUCGGGUCUAGUGGCGCACGGGUGCGUAACGCGUGGGAAUCUGCCCUUGGGUUCGGAAUAACAGUUAGAAAUGACUGCUAAUACCGGAUGAUGACUUCGGUCAAAAGAUUUAUCGCCCAAGGAUGAGCCCGCGUAGGAUUAGCUAGUUGGUAGGGUAAAGGCCUACCAAGGCGACGAUCCUUAGCUGGGCUGAGAGGAUGAUCAGCCACACUGGGACGGAGACACGGCCCAGACUCCUACGGGAGGCAGCAGUGGGGAAUAUUGGACAAUGGGCGAAAGCCUGAUCCAGCAAUGCCGCGUGAGUGAUGAAGGCCCUAGGGUUGUAAAGCUCUUUUACCCGGGAUGAUAAUGACAGUACCGGGAGAAUAAGCCCCGGCUAACUCCGUGCCAGCAGCCGCCGUAACAC
rnacentral:rRNA from 1 species